CCUACGGGAGGCAGCAGUGGGGAAUAUUGGACAAUGGGCGAAAGCCUGAUCCAGCAAUGCCGCGUGAGUGAUGAAGGCCCUAGGGUUGUAAAGCUCUUUUACCGGGGAUGAUAAUGACAGUACCUGGAGAAUAAGCUCCGGCUAACUCCGUGCCAGCAGCCGCGGUAAUACGGAGGGAGCUAGCGUUGUUCGGAAUUACUGGGCGUAAAGCGUGCGUAGGCGGUGACUCAAGUCAGAGGUGAAAGCCUGGAGCUCAACUCCAGAACUGCCUUUGAAACUAGGUCGCUAGAAUCACGGAGAGGUGAGUGGAAUUCCGAGUGUAGAGGUGAAAUUCGUAGAUAUUCGGAAGAACACCAGUGGCGAAGGCGGCUCACUGGACGUGUAUUGACGCUGAGGCACGAAAGCGUGGGGAGCAAACAGGAUUAGAUACCCUGGUAGUCCACGCCGUAAACGAUGAUAACUAGCUGCCCAGGCGUCUUAGUAGUCGUUUGGUUGGUCGGCGAGCUAACGACAUUAAGUUAUUCCGCCGUCGGGGUAGGUACGGUCGCGAAGAAGUUAAAACUAACAAUAGUAAGUUAGACGGCGUGAGACGUGCCGACGGACGACGACGAGGGAGGAGG
rnacentral:rRNA from 1 species